rnacentral:rRNA from 1 species
UACAGAGGUCUCAAGCGUUGUUCGGAUUCAUUGGGCGUAAAGGGUGCGUAGGCGGCGCGGUAAGUCGGGUGUGAAAUCUUGGAGCUUAACUCCGAAACUGCAUUCGAUACUGCCGUGCUUGAGGACUGGAGAGGAGACUGGAAUUUACGGUGUAGCAGUGAAAUGCGUAGAUAUCGUAAGGAAGACCAGUGGCGAAGGCGAGUUCCUGGACAGUUACUGACACUGAGGCACGAAGGCCAGGGGAGCAAACGGGG